GGCGUGAGGGGGCGCGGCGGCAAUGUGGGGCUCGAGGGGCCGCGCACGGAGGUGCCGCAGAGCCGAUGCAACGGCGUGUGCUCCUCUCAUCACCGUGUGCUCCUCUCGUCACCAGAUCAAGGGGACCGUGAGGUGCGGGGACAUUGAAUCGGUGCCCGGCCUGUGCUCCUCACCGGCAGCUGCAACACCGGGUGUUUUUCAUAGCGCGAUGGCGUGGACCCAGGCGGCACGAGCGGACAAAGAGAGCAUGCGACGACUUCCAUGGGUGGAGGUCUGUGCGGACAAGCGCAGAGAGGGCUCCCCAGACAGCUUGCGAGCGGGUCUUUUCCCGCGGGCGCCGUGAGACCAGCAGGCCGCCGCGACUACUUUCCCCGAAGGCCUGCGAACUGUUUUCCUACGGGCUGGAGGCGAUGUGUCACCAAGGCCGUGCUCGCCGAGCAAGUCGCCGCCCAUGAUGCCGCCUUCGUCUAGAGCGGUGCCGUGCUGCAGGGGGCCUCAACAAGAUCACUCUCGGAUUCGGUGCCAAUGUACAGGAGCGAUGCAUCCUCCAAGGUGCAUUGGAGGCAUCUACAGGUCACCGUCCUCACCCGAUUUGGUUCUGGAGUCUUCUGAAAUGCUAGAUCUGCUGAGCUAGGAUUGUUCUCUUAAUUGCCAAGGUGAUCUAGGAUGCGGUAGGACUCUUUUUCAUUUCGGUUGGUGAAGUGAGCAAUUAUUCUUGUUUGGUGAUUUGAUGAUGCCUUGCGCAGUUUAAGAGUGACAUGAACCACUGUGUGCCAUGUUUUUUAGAAUAGUUUUAGUGAUUUUGGGUGAAAAUUGUAGUCAGCAUUUGCUCCAUGGUUCUGAUAUUACGAACUGGCUACUUCCUAGCAAAUUGUUAAGUAGAACAAUGUAUCUGGAACUCCGUGUAUUUAUUUGGGGAAUUUGUUGUGCUAAAUAAUAAUUUAAUCAGUGAACUAGGCAACCCAGUGCAUUUAUCUAGACAAUUCUUCUGAUUUCAUAACGCAACUGAAUGCAUUUAUCUAGGCAAUAAUGCAUUAAGAACAAGGCAAACUCAGUGCAUUUAUCUGAACAAUUCUUGUACAUUUCAGUUACCUGGAAAAUAGUAAAUCAUUUCUACAAUCAUCUUGUACAUUUUAGUUACCUUGGUAGUCUGUCCCUUUUCAGUUAUUGGUUUGUUUUGGUUUGAAAUUCUUUGAUCCUGCCUGCAUUGUCAUUAGCAUGAGUUCUAGUGUUCUUGACAAUUUUCUAAUUUCGUUUGUAGCUUUGCUACUCUCCUUUUCAGUUGCUCCUCGCUCUUAUCUGAAGUGGAGCAAGAAAGAAUCAUCAGAUUUCUCAAUCUCUACAGCUGAAGAAGUGUGGAGAGGAUGUAGGUUCACGGGAGAAGCAUUUUUGUCAAAUAGUAGAAAUAUUUUUAGUACUUUUCAAUAUCAAUUACUAGAAUCAUUUCAUUACUUUCCAGUAGACAAAUACAUCAAUUAUGAGACGCAUUUUUGUACUUCCCAAUAAACAAAUACAUCAAAUACUAGAAGUAUUUUCAGAACUAGACAAUAAUAUUGGCAACAUACUGCAAAGUCUUCAAUCUCUA